rnacentral:tRNA from 1 species
GUUCUUGUAGCUCAGUGGUUAGAGCGAUGGUCUUAUGAGCCAUAGGUCGUGGGUUCAACUCCCAUCAGGAACAUCU